AUGGAUGUCUGAGUGGUUGAAGGUCUCAGUCUUGAAAACUGAUAUAUUUUAAUAUCGGGGGUUCGAAUCCCUCUCCAUC
rnacentral:tRNA from 1 species